GGAACCGUAGCUCAAGAGGCAGAGCGCUGUGUUUGUGAUGCAGAGGUUGUGGGUUCAAUCCCCAUCGGCUCCA
rnacentral:tRNA from 1 species